rnacentral:rRNA from 1 species
AUUGAACGCUGGCGGCAGGCCUAACACAUGCAAGUCGAACGAGUGGCGGACGGGUGAGUAAUGCAUGGGCAUCUAGCUUAUGGAGGGGGAUAACUACGGGAAACUGUAGCUAAUACCGCGUACCAUAGGAUGAGCCCAAGUGGGAUUAGGUAGUGGGUGAGGUAAAGGCUCACCAAGCCGACGAUCUCUAGCUGGUCUGAGAGGAUGACCAGCCACACUGGGACUGAGACACGGCCCAGACUCCUACGGGAGGCAGCAGUGGGGAAUAUUGCACAAUGGGGGCAACCUGAUGCAGCCAUGCCGCGUGAAUGAAGAAGGCCUUCGGGUUGUAAAGUACUUUCGGUAGGGAGGCGUUACCUACAGAAGAAGCACCGGCUAACUCCGUGCCAGCAGCCGCGGUAAUAC